rnacentral:rRNA from 1 species
AUUGAACGCUGGCGGCAGGCCUAACACAUGCAAGUCGAGCGGAUGAAGGUAGCUUGCUACCUGAUUCAGCGGCGGACGGGUGAGUAAUGCCUAGGAAUCUGCCUGGUAGUGGGGGACAACGUUUCGAAAGGAACGCUAAUACCGCAUACGUCCUACGGGAGAAAGUGGGGGAUCUUCGGACCUCACGCAAUCAGAUGAGCCUAGGCAGGAUUAGCUAGUUGGUGAGGUAAAGGCUCACCAAGGCGACGAUCGUUAACUGGUCUGAGAGGAUGAUCAGUCACACUGGAACUGAGACACGGUCCAGACUCCUAGGGGAGGCAGCAGUGGGGAAUAUUGGACAAUGGGCGAAAGCCUGAUCCAGCCAUGCCGCGUGUGUGAAGAAGGUCUUCGGAUUGUAAAGCACUUUAAGUUGGGAGGAAGGGCAGUAAGUUAAUACCUUGCUGUUUUGACGUUACCGACAGAAUAAGCACCGGCUAACUUCGUGCCAGCCGCCGCAGUAAUAC